rnacentral:rRNA from 1 species
AUUGAACGCUGGCGGCAGGCCUAACACAUGCAAGUCGAACGGUAGCAGGAAGAAGCUUGCUUCUUUGCUGACGAGUGGCGGACGGGUGAGUAAUGUCUGGGAAACUGCCUGACGGAGGGGGAUAACUACUGGAAACGGUAGCUAAUACCGCAUAACGUCGCAAGACCAAAGAGGGGGACCUUCGGGCCUCUUGCCAUCGGAUGUGCCCAGAUGGGAUUAGCUAGUAGGUGGGGUAACGGCUCACCUAGGCGACGAUCCCUAGCUGGUCUGAGAGGAUGACCAGCCACACUGGAACUGAGACACGGUCCAGACUCCUACGGGAGGCAGCAGUGGGGAAUAUUGCACAAUGGGCGCAAGCCUGAUGCAGCCAUGCCGCGUGUAUGAAGAAGGCCUUCGGGUUGUAAAGUACUUUCAGCGGGGAGGAAGGGAGUAAAGUUAAUACCUUUGCUCAUUGACGUUACCCGCAGAAGAAGCACCGGCUAACUCCGUG